AAUCAUCCACCCUGACUUUUGGUUAGUUCCAUCGGUCUUGGCUGGGAUUUGGGCGCUUGCCUCUGAUAAAGCGGCUCGCCUUAAAAUGAUUUCGGAUUGACUCUGUCUGCAGUCGGUUUGACUUGGCGUUAUAAGUUAUUUCGCUAAGGACAUCUUCGGAUGGCCGAUCAAUGAUAGCUGUCUUGCGCUGCGUGUGUCUCACACUACCAGUGCGCUCCAUCUUUUGAC
rnacentral:misc_RNA from 1 species